UCCCUGGUUGUCUAGUGGUAAGGAUUUGGCGCUCCUCGCGCGCCCGGGUUCGAUUCCCGGUCAGGGAA